GACGAACGCUGGCGGCGUGCUUAACACAUGCAAGUCGAACGGAAAGGCCUCUUUCGGGGGUACUCGAGUGGCGAACGGGUGAGUAACACGUGAGUAACCUGCCCUUGACUUUGGGAUAACUUCAGGAAACUGGGGCUAAUACCGGAUAGGAGCUCCUGCUGCAUGGUGGGGGUUGGAAAGUUUCGGCGGUUGGGGAUGGACUCGCGGCUUAUCAGCUUGUUGGUGGGGUAGUGGCUUACCAAGGCCUUGACGGGUAGCCGGCCUGAGAGGGUGACCGGCCACAUUGGGACUGAGAUACGGCCCAGACUCCUACGGGAGGCAGCAGUGGGGAAUAUUGCACAAUGGGUGGAAGCCUGAUGCAGCAACGCCGUGUGCGGGAUGACGGCCUUCGGGUUGUAAACCGCUUUCGCUCAUGACGAAGCUUUGUGUGACGGUAGUGGGUAAAGAAGCACCGGCUAACUACGUG
rnacentral:rRNA from 1 species